UAAGCUGGCUUCUCUGAUGUUAGCGGCGGACGGGUGAGUAACACGUGGAUAACCUACCUAUAAGACUGGGAUAACUUCGGGAAACCGGAGCUAAUACCGGAUAAUAUUUUGAACCGCAUGGUUCAAAAGUGAAAGACGGUCUUGCUGUCACUUAUAGAUGGAUCCGCGCUGCAUUAGCUAGUUGGUAAGGUAACGGCUUACCAAGGCAACGAUGCAUAGCCGACCUGAGAGGGUGAUCGGCCACACUGGAACUGAGACACGGUCCAGACUCCUACGGGAGGCAGCAGUAGGGAAUCUUCCGCAAUGGGCGAAAGCCUGACGGAGCAACGCCGCGUGAGUGAUGAAGGUCUUCGGAUCGUAAAACUCUGUUAUUAGGGAAGAACAUAUGUGUAAGUAACUGUGCACAUCUUGACGGUACCUAAUCAGAAAGCCACGGCUAACUACGUGCCAGCAGCCGCGGUAAUACGUAGGUGGCAAGCGUUAUCCGGAAUUAUUGGGCGUAAAGCGCGCGUAGGCGGUUUUUUAAGUCUGAUGUGAAAGCCCACGGCUCAACCGUGGAGGGUCAUUGGAAACUGGAAAACUUGAGUGCAGAAGAGGAAAGUGGAAUUCCAUGUGUAGCGGUGAAAUGCGCAGAGAUAUGGAGGAACACCAGUGGCGAAGGCGACUUUCUGGUCUGUAACUGACGCUGAUGUGCGAAAGCGUGGGGAUCAAACAGGAUUAGAUACCCUGGUAGUCACGCCGUAAACGAUGAGUGCUAAGUGUUAGGGGGUUUUCCGCCCCUUAGUGCUGCAGCUAACGCAUUAAGCACUCCGCCUGGGGGA
rnacentral:rRNA from 1 species